CUCCAGACUUCACUCAGAAGACUCCCAUGGAAAGGAAAGAAAUCUGAAAAACAAUCGUAGCAAAGCAAAAAGAGGGUGAUGUGAGAAAAGAAAAAACAAGACUAUUCUGAUUGCAAUUCUUAAUGCUACAAUGAUCUUCCCCUCUCCCUUGCUGGGUGGUCCUUAGGGUACAAGCAAGGUUUCUGGAAGGAACUUCUCAGAUGGUCUUGCUUUCCUCUCUUCCUUCUACGGUUGGAUCCAGGCCACAGGAAGUGUGACAAUGAAAAAAGGCAACACAUGAAGACAUUACUGAAUGCUGCUUCCUCCACACUGUAUCGUUUACAGCAUUAAUGGUCACUGCUAGGCUGAAGAUCUGAAAGAGGAACAAAAUGGAAUUUUAGACAUCCAACUCUCUCCUCAGUCCAGACAGAUGCACAAAGGCAUGAAGCAAGGGAAGGGAAGGUCAUUUAAACUGAAAGGAAGGCCAAGACAGAUGAUGGCUGAUUAGGACUGAAAAGAGCCAAGAAAGCAACAGGCAGAGGGCUGAAGAAGAGAAGCAGCUUAUCAGAAGCACAGAUAGUGUCUA